rnacentral:rRNA from 1 species
AGUGAACGCUGGCGGUAGGCCUAACACAUGCAAGUCGAACGGCAGCACAGUAAGAGCUUGCUCUUACGGGUGGCGAGUGGCGGACGGGUGAGGAAUACAUCGGAAUCUACUUUUUCGUGGGGGAUAACGUAGGGAAACUUACGCUAAUACCGCAUACGACCUACGGGUGAAAGCAGGGGAUCUUCGGACCUUGCGCGAUUGAAUGAGCCGAUGUCGGAUUAGCUAGUUGGCGGGGUAAAGGCCCACCAAGGCGACGAUCCGUAGCUGGUCUGAGAGGAUGAUCAGCCACAAUGGAACUGAGACACGGUCCAGACUCCUACGGGAGGCAGCAGGGGGGAAUAUUGGACAAUGGGCGCAAGCCUGAUCCAGCCAUACCGCGUGGGUGAAGAAGGCCUUCGGGUUGUAAAGCCCUUUUGUUGGGAAAGAAAAGCAGCAGGUUAAUACCCCGCUGUUCUGACGGUACCCAAAGAAUAAGCACCGGCUAACUUCGUG